rnacentral:pre_miRNA from 1 species
CACGAUAUGACGUUUCUACCCCUCACAAGUAAAAGUAUAAUGCAUAUCAAUGAGGGGUAAAAAUGUCAUAUCAUAUGU